rnacentral:rRNA from 1 species
AGGUUAAGUUAAUAAGGGCGCACGGUGGAUGCCUUGGCACUAGAAGCCGAUGAAGGACGUGACUAACGACGAAAUGCUUUGGGGAGCUGUAAGUGAGCAAUGAUCCAGAGAUGUCCGAAUGGGGGAACCCGGCAGGUAAUGCCUGUCACUCAUUACUGUUAAGGUAAUGUAGAGGAAGACGCAGUGAACUGAAACAUCUAAGUAGCUGUAGGAAGAGAAAGCAAAAGCGAUUGCCUUAGUAGCGGCGAGCGAAACGGCAAGAGGGCAAACCGAAGAGUUUACUCUUCGGGGUUGUAGGACUGCAACGUGGACUUAAAGAUUAUAGAAGAACUACCUGGGAAGGUAGGCCAAAGAGAGUAAUAGCCUCGUAUUCGAAAUAGUCUUUAUACCUAGCAGUAUCCUGAGUACGGCGAGACACGAGAAAUCUCGUCGGAAUCUGGGAGGACCAUCUCCCAACCCUAAAUACUCUCUAGUGACCGAUAGUGAACCAGUACCGUGAGGGAAAGGUGAAAAGCACCCCGGGAGGGGAGUGAAAUAGAACCUGAAACCGUGUGCCUACAACAAGUUCGAGCCCGUUAAUGGGUGAGAGCGUGCCUUUUGUAGAAUGAACCGGCGAGUUACGAUAUGAUGCGAGGUUAAGUUGAAGAGACGGAGCCGUAGGGAAACCGAGUCUUAAUAGGGCGCAUUAGUAUCAUGUCGUAGACCCGAAACCAUGUGACCUACCCAUGAGCAGGUUGAAGGUGAGGUAAAACUCACUGGAGGACCGAACCAGGGCACGUUGAAAAGUGCUUGGAUGACUUGUGGGUAGCGGAGAAAUUCCAAACGAACUUGGAGAUAGCUGGUUCUCUCCGAAAUAGCUUUAGGGCUAGCGUCGAUGUUAAGUCUCUUGGAGGUAGAGCACUGUUUGGGUGAGGGGUCCAUCCCGGAUUACCAAUCUCAGAUAAACUCCGAAUGCCAAUGAGAUAUAAUCGGCAGUCAGACUGCGAGUGCUAAGAUCCGUAGUCGAAAGGGAAACAGCCCAGACCACCAGCUAAGGUCCCAAAAUAUAUGUUAAGUGGAAAAGGAUGUGGGGUUGCACAGACAACUAGGAUGUUAGCUUAGAAGCAGCUAUUCAUUCAAAGAGUGCGUAAUAGCUCACUAGUCGAGUGACCCUGCGCCGAAAAUGUACCGGGGCUAAAACAUAUUACCGAAGCUGUGGAUACCUUUAUAGGUAUGGUAGGAGAGCGUUCUAUGUGCGAAGAAGGUGUACCGUGAGGAGUGCUGGAGCGCAUAGAAGUGAGAAUGCCGGUAUGAGUAGCGAAAGACAGGUGAGAAUCCUGUCCACCGUAAGACUAAGGUUUCCAGGGGAAGGCUCGUCCGCCCUGGGUUAGUCGGGACCUAAGGAGAGACCGAAAGGUGUAUCCGAUGGACAACAGGUUGAUAUUCCUGUACUAGAGUAUAUAGUGAUGGAGGGACGCAGUAGGCUAACUAAACCAGACGAUUGGAAGUGUCUGGCCAAGCAGUGAGGUGUGAUAUGAGUCAAAUGCUUAUAUCUUUAACAUUGAGCUGUGAUGGGGAGCGAAGUUUAGUAGCGAAGUUAGUGAUGUCACACUGCCGAGAAAAGCUUCUAGCGUUAAUUAUACUCUACCCGUACCGCAAACCGACACAGGUAGUCGAGGCGAGUAGCCUCAGGUGAGCGAGAGAACUCUCGUUAAGGAACUCGGCAAAAUGGCCCCGUAACUUCGGGAGAAGGGGCGCUGACUGAUGGUCAGCCGCAGUGAAUAGGCCCAAGCAACUGUUUAUCAAAAACACAGCUCUCUGCUAAAUCGUAAGAUGAUGUAUAGGGGGUGACGCCUGCCCGGUGCUGGAAGGUUAAGAGGAGUGCUUAGCGUAAGCGAAGGCAUGAAUUGAAGCCCCAGUAAACGGCGGCCGUAACUAUAACGGUCCUAAGGUAGCGAAAUUCCUUGUCGGGUAAGUUCCGACCCGCACGAAAGGCGUAAUGAUUUGGGCACUGUCUCAACGAGAGACUCGGUGAAAUUUUAGUACCUGUGAAGAUGCAGGUUACCCGCGACAGGACGGAAAGACCCCAUGGAGCUUUACUGCAGUUUGAUAUUGAGUAUCUGUACCACAUGUACAGGAUAGGUAGGAGCCUAUGACCUCGGGACGCCAGUUUCGAGUGAGGCGUUGUUGGGAUACUACCCUUGUGUUAUGGCUACUCUAACCCAGAUAGGUUAUCCCUAUCGGAGACAGUGUCUGACGGGCAGUUUGACUGGGGCGGUCGCCUCCUAAAAGGUAACGGAGGCGCCCAAAGGUUCCCUCAGAAUGGUUGGAAAUCAUUCGCAGAGUGUAAAGGUAUAAGGGAGCUUGACUGCGAGAGCUACAACUCGAGCAGGGACGAAAGUCGGGCUUAGUGAUCCGGUGGUUCCGUAUGGAAGGGCCAUCGCUCAACGGAUAAAAGCUACCCUGGGGAUAACAGGCUUAUCUCCCCCAAGAGUUCACAUCGACGGGGAGGUUUGGCACCUCGAUGUCGGCUCGUCGCAUCCUGGGGCUGUAGUCGGUCCCAAGGGUUGGGCUGUUCGCCCAUUAAAGCGGCACGCGAGCUGGGUUCAGAACGUCGUGAGACAGUUCGGUCCCUAUCCGUCGCGGGCGUAGGAAAUUUGAGAGGAUCUGCUCCUAGUACGAGAGGACCAGAGUGGACUUACCG